rnacentral:rRNA from 1 species
GUGAACGCUGGCGGCGUGCCUAAUACAUGCAAGUCGAGCGAACUCUGGUAACUGAAUGAAGGUGCUUGCACCUGAGUGAUGAUACAUUUGAGUGAGCGGCGGAUGGGUGAGUAACACGUGGGUAACCUGCCCUAAAGUGGGGGAUAACAUCUGGAAACAGGUGCUAAUACCGCAUAACAACAACUUCCACAUGGAGGAUGUUUGAAAGAUGGUUCUGCUAUCGCUUUAGGAUGGACCCGCGGCGUAWUAGUUAGUUGGUGAGGUAACGGCUCACCAAGACGAUGAUACGUAGCCGGCCUGAGAGGGUAAUCGGCCACAUUGGGACUGAGACACGGCCCAAACUCCUACGGGAGGCAGCAGUAGGGAAUCUUCCACAAUGGACGAAAGUCUGAUGGAGCAACGCCGCGUGAGUGAAGAAGGUUUUCGGAUCGUAAAACUCUGUUGUUGAAGAAGAACAUGCGUGAGAGUAACUGUUCAUGUAUUGACGGUAUUCAACCAGAAAGCCACGGCUAACUACGUGCCAGCAGCCGCGGUAAUACGUAGGUGGCAAGCGUUGUCCGGAAUUAUUGGGCGUAAAGCGAGUGCAGGCGGUUUAUUAGGUCUGAUGUGAAUGCCCUCGGCUCAACCGAGGAAGUGCAUCGGAAACCGGUAAACUUGAGUGCAGAAGAGRAGAGUGGAACUCCAUGUGUAGCGGUGGAAUGCGUAGAUAUAUGGAAGAACACCAGUGGCGAAGGCGGCUCUCUGGUCUGUAACUGACGCUGAGGCUCGAAAGCGUGGGUAGCAAACAGGAUUAGAUACCCUGGUAGUCCACGCCGUAAACGAUGAGUGCUAAGUGUUGGAGGGUUUCCGCCCUUCAGUGCUGCAGCUAACGCAUUAAGCACUCCGCCUGGGGAGUACGACCGCAAGA